UUUGGUUAAGUUAGAAAGGGCGCACGGUGGAUGCCUUGACACUAGGAGUCGAUGAAGGACGGGACUAACGCCGAUAUGCUUCGGGGAGCUGUAAGUAAGCUUUGAUCCGAAGAUUUCCGAAUGGGGAAACCCACCAUACGUAAUGGUAUGGUAUCCUUACCUGAAUACAUAGGGUAAGGAAGACAGACCCAGGGAACUGAAACAUCUAAGUACCUGGAGGAAGAGAAAGCAAAUGCGAUUUCCUGAGUAGCGGCGAGCGAAACGGAACAUAGCCCAAACCAAGAGGCUUGCCUCUUGGGGUUGUAGGACAUUCUAUACGGAGUUACAAAGGAACGAGGUAGACGAAGCGACCUGGAAAGGUCCGUCGUAGAGGGUAACAACCCCGUAGUCGAAACUUCGUUCUCUCUUGAAUGUAUCCUGAGUACGGCGGAACACGUGAAAUUCCGUCGGAAUCUGGGAGGACCAUCUCCCAAGGCUAAAUACUCCCUAGUGAUCGAUAGUGAACCAGUACCGUGAGGGAAAGGUGAAAAGCACCCCGGAAGGGGAGUGAAAGAGAUCCUGAAACCGUGUGCCUACAAAUAGUCAGAGCCCGUUAAUGGGUGAUGGCGUGCCUUUUGUAGAAUGAACCGGCGAGUUACGAUCCCGUGCGAGGUUAAGCUGAAGAGGCGGAGCCGCAGCGAAAGCGAGUCUGAAUAGGGCGUUUAGUACGUGGUCGUAGACCCGAAACCAGGUGAUCUACCCAUGUCCAGGGUGAAGUUCAGGUAACACUGAAUGGAGGCCCGAACCCACGCACGUUGAAAAGUGCGGGGAUGAGGUGUGGGUAGCGGAGAAAUUCCAAUCGAACCUGGAGAUAGCUGGUUCUCCCCGAAAUAGCUUUAGGGCUAGCCUUAAGUGUAAGAGUCUUGGAGGUAGAGCACUGAUUGAACUAGGGGUCCUCAUCGGAUUACCGAAUUCAGUCAAACUCCGAAUGCCAAUGACUUAUCCUUAGG
rnacentral:rRNA from 1 species